AAAAGCAGGCUGCCCCAGCUGUGUGUCGCAACCGGCUGCGGUGGGUUUGUGUGGUGUGGACGGUUAGUUCUUUUUGUUCUUCCCAAUAAUAUUUGCUGCUGUUCAUUGAUUGGGUCCUGGCUGCCUUUAUGAGCUGUAACACUCACUGUGAAGGUCUGCAGCUUCACUCCUGAAGCCCACGAGACCAGGAACCCACCAGAAGGAAAAAAUUCGGGAUAUAUCUGAACAUCAGAGGGAGCAAACUCCGGACCCACCAUCUUUAAGAACUGUAACACUCACUGUGAGGGUCUGCAGCGUGUUCUUGAAGUCCGGGAGACCAAGAACCCACCAAUUCCGGACACAGUGGUACUGUCUAGAAGGGGUCCAGUAGAACCAGAAGAGUUUUCUCAGAGAGGAAGCAACAUUUUACAACUGAAUCUACACUACAUAUACAGAAGAGUCCAAAGUUGGAAACCUAAGCAAUCCAAGAAAUCGCUGUCCCUACAGAAGUUAAACAAUAGGAUACUUUCUCUCCUGCUUUAAUAAAUGGUUGUUAUCUUGCUCUGAAGAUAAUUGAAGCAGUGGACAUCUCAUAUCCUUUUCUACUUAUUGGGCUAGAGUCAGAGUCACCCUGACUCUGACUUAUUUUUUAAUUGAUAAGCUCUUCAAGUCAGAGAGAACUUGGUGCAACUCCAGGCUCUCCUAAUUAUUUAUGGAAAUAAAUAAAUAUGGACAAGUCCAUUACUAAGUCUGUAAAAUCGAGAAAAUAUGAUAAACCAUGCAUGAUUAUAUUGAGUAUUUAAUAAAGGAUCUUUGGUACCAGGCACUUAGUAGGCUAUGGCUGUUGCUAUGUCACUCCCAUGCUGUCUACUCUUAAAAGGACUCCUUAGGUAGAAUUAAUUAAUUGUGGCUAAUAAUCUGGGUCAGAUUAUGGAAAGUGAAACGUCUGGAAGAAGGAGAAAAUUGUGGUUGUCUCCAGUGAAAUCUAUUUUUUGUGACCUCCCCUUGCCAGAAGUACCAAGUGGUAGACACAUAUGUGUGACAUUGUAAAACAGGCAAUCAAUUCAUCUCUUGCUACAUCUGAUGCAUAAAAUCAAGUAGAAGCACAUAGACCUAAGCACAGAUUUAGGGUUGAUAAAAAAAAAAAGGCACUUUUAUUGAAGUGAUUUAUGGGCCUUUUGGAUAGGAAAUGUUAAAGAAAGGGGCAGCUUAAGUCAUUUUAAUUAUUUAUGAUUUUAUUGUACCAGCGGAAGUCUCCGGUUCGCUCUAACUUGGAGAUGCUUCUACUAAUGCUGAAGGAAAAAAUCUCGUGAUAAUGGAAGACUCAAUUCUUGUGUUGUUAACUGAAAACAUUACUCACGCUCAUCAAAGUAGUUCACGGAAGUCAUUUAAUGUGGUUGUCUUUUCAGUUGAAAGUAUGCUGACUCUGUUGAUGGUUUCUGCUAAUGCAUAGGACACAAAUAGCAGGCAUGUCUUCAUUUGUGAGUCUUUGUCAUUAUCUGCAUUGAUGGUUUUCUUAAAUUUUAAUUUUCCC
rnacentral:lncRNA from 1 species